rnacentral:tRNA from 1 species
GCUUUCGUGGUGUAGUGGUCAGCACGAGCGGCGUGUAAUCGAGAGGUCCGGGGUUCGAGUUCCAGCGAGGGCA